AGUGAACGCUGGCGGUAGGCCUAACACAUGCAAGUCGAACGGCAGCACAGUAAGAGCUUGCUCUUACGGGUGGCGAGUGGCGGACGGGUGAGGAAUACAUCGGAAUCUACUUUUUCGUGGGGGAUAACGUAGGGAAACUUACGCUAAUACCGCAUACGACCUACGGGUGAAAGCAGGGGAUCUUCGGACCUUGCGCGAUUGAAUGAGCCGAUGUCGGAUUAGCUAGUUGGCGGGGUAAAGGCCCACCAAGGCGACGAUCCGUAGCUGGUCUGAGAGGAUGAUCAGCCACACUGGAACUGAGACACGGUCCAGACUCCUACGGGAGGCGGCAGUGGGGAAUAUUGGACAAUGGGCGCAAGCCUGAUCCAGCCAUACCGCGUGGGUGAAGAAGGCCUUCGGGUUGUAAAGCCCUUUUGUUGGGAAAGAAAAGCGGCAGGUUAAUACCCCGCUGUUCUGACGGUACCCAAAGAAUAAGCACCGGCUAACUUCGUG
rnacentral:rRNA from 1 species